CCCAACAAUAAUAAUUGUAGAUAGCUAGCUCUCUGCAACUCUCACAGAGUCGCCUACUUAAGCUAAGCAGGGCUCUGCCCAGUCCGUACCUGGAUGGAAGACCACAUGGGAAAGACAGGUUGCUGCUGGAA
rnacentral:rRNA from 1 species